AAGUAAAGGUUAGAGAAGGAAUUCCUCUUGCCAGGAAAGUACCCAGCUGAUAGUCCAGGAGGACCCAGAGACCCACCACAUGUCAACCACGGGUGGGGAGCAGCUCAUUAAGGAUGCUAAGGCCACCCGGAAAGGGGUUGCCAGGGAACCAGCUCUCCACACCAGCUCAAACACCCUCCGCGAAGAGAGCUGCAGCCUUGGGUUAUUACAUCCAGCACCACCAAGAGAGGCCACCUCAGCCAGCUGCCUCUUGCACUGAACCCACGAAAGGGAGGAGGGUCUCGCCAUCAAGUUCUUUCAACAAGAUACCAAGAACCUGGAAACAUCUGGCCUCAACUGUACCGCCACCAUGUGGACAUAAAUCUAACCUCAAGCGAGCUUCUUCAGGAUUUCGCCCAACCAUGACCACGUGGGGACUGACCAGCACACAAAGAAAACCACCAGGACUGCGUCUGCGCGGUGUGUCUUCAUGGUGCUAUCUCCUGCCAGUGUUGCCAGUGUUUCCAGCGUCAGCAGAGACCCAGAGGAUGCCCCUCCCCAGUCCCCUUCCCCUUCCUGU